AGAUUGAACGCUGGCGGCAUGCUUUACACAUGCAAGUCGAACGGCAGCGCGGGGCAACCUGGCGGCGAGUGGCGAACGGGUGAGUAAUAUAUCGGAACGUACCCAAGAGUGGGGGAUAACGUAGCGAAAGUUACGCUAAUACCGCAUACGAUCUAAGGAUGAAAGCAGGGGACCGCAAGGCCUUGUGCUCCUGGAGCGGCCGAUAUCUGAUUAGCUAGUUGGUAGGGUAAAGGCUACCAAGGCUACGAUCAGUAGCUGGUCUGAGAGGACGACCAGCCACACUGGAACUGAGACACGGUCCAGACUCCUACGGGAGGCAGCAGUGGGGAAUAUUGCACAAUGGGCGAAAGCCUGAUGCAGCAACGCCGCGUGAGGGACGAAGGCCUCGGUGUAACCUCUUUAGUAGGAAGAAGCGAAGUAGACGUACCUGCAGAAAAGACACCGGCUAACUACGUGCCAGCAGCCGC
rnacentral:rRNA from 1 species